UGCGUAGGCGGCCGCUUAAGUAGGGUGUGAAAUGUCCCGGCUCAACCGGGGAAUGGCGCUCUAAACUGGGUGGCUCGAGUGAGAUAGAGGUGUGCGGAACUUCCGGUGGAGCGGUGAAAUGUGUUGAUAUCGGAGGGAACACCAUUAGCGAAAGCGGCACACUGGGUCUUAACUGACGCUGAGGCACGAAAGCCAGGGGAGCAAACG
rnacentral:rRNA from 1 species